rnacentral:lncRNA from 1 species
AAAUCACGGAGUUGACUUGCACAAGAGAACUAAAGCAGGCAUUUAUAGCUAGACUACAUCCAGUGAUGACAGUUUCUGUGUUUUCAGAGAAAGGUUUUGAUGGAUUUCUUCAUAUUUGUGUGUUCACGUUGCCAGAGAGCUGGCUGAGUCAAGCUCCCUACAGUAAACGAGAGUUUACUGGAAUGUUGCAAUUGCUGUAGAUUUUUAUCUAUCUGUUUGAACAUUCACAAUGGUGAUUUUUUUGGCAAUGAAGUCAGUUUUGUUCAUCAAGUUUUUCUUCUUUACGGAUACACAAUAUUUGCUGUUUCAAAUAAAGCUGGCCAUAAAUAUUAUUCCCUUCCCAUCUGGUUUGGAAAAGGAGAAUGCUUUUGAUUCUAAACCAGUUUUAUCACAAGGUUACUACUAGGUGGCCUGACUUUAACUUGUGCUGCUGCAUGGAUGGUGAAAUUUCAUUACAUCCAUUGUUGUCUUGAGAAUUAUGUUUCAAGGUCUUGUUUUGUAAAGGUGUAUCCCAGAUUUUACAACCUUCUACUCGCAAUCUUGAUGUGGAU